CUAGGAGAUACCCCGUACAAACCACAGUGCUGGACCGGUGACCACUGAUACAGCUCCACAUAAAGAUCCAGGGAUAAGACUUCCCUUUCCAGUGGCUUCCUCAUUCUACUACUCACUGGCAACAGGAACCUGGUCACCAUACUGCUCUCGCCGUCUGGUGCCACUGGUGUGAUUUAUAGCCUCUGUCCUCGUGGUAACAAUGCAGCUGAGAAUCCCCCUCAGUGAUGGAGACGUAAAAGCCUUGACACAGCUACCGUCAGUGCAGUAAAAUCAUCUGGAAGAGGCUCUGACAACAGUCCUGCAGUCAGAUGUUCUGGACUCAGAGGUCGGAUGUUUGGAGCUGUGUCUUCCAUG